UCUCCUUAUCAGAUCAGCGUCCACUUCUUCUCUCACUACUUGAGCGUUGUUAUUUCUGUAAGUUCCUUCUCCAUUUUUGAAGUUCUUAGCUUCUUCCAAUUGCCAAUUUGUGAAUGAUUUUCUUUGGGAUUACCUACUUGUAUUAUGGAUCAUGAAACACUGCCCCGAGAUUUCUGUUCCACCAAAAUUGGGCUCUGUUUACGCGGCCUAGUUAGGAUUUGGGAUGAAUUAUUGAGAGAAGUAUUCAACGGCCGCAUUGCGGUGGUCGUUUUCAAAUUCCAUACUUUCUUGCGUUGCGGAUAUUGGACAUUGCGUAAUGCCCACCAACUGUUUGAUGAAAUUCCUCUAUGAAAUGCUCAAGGAUCAACUAUUUCAUUGGAUCAUUAUGGAUUCGUUUUCGAUAACAUGACCAUGAUCAGCUGUUUCAUUGGAUCAUUAUGGAUUCGUUUCGACAACAUGACCGUGUGAGUAUUAGGAAUUUAAAGUUCACUCCUACUCAAUGGAAUUCAUCCCUUUCCCUUUUCCUAGUCUAGUAUGUUUUUUGGAGCAUUAAUUUUGGACCCAUUUGGUAAUGUUUUUGUUUUUGUUUCUCGUUUUCUAUCGCUCGUUUCUCUUUUUUAGUAAAAGAAAUAUACAAAAUUUUAGUGUUAUAUUUAUUAUGCAUUUUAGAAGUAAUAAAAUGAUAAAAUAAUACUUUUAUUUAUAUUUUGAAGAAAAAAAAAAUAGAUAUUUUAGUUGUUUUAAGAUUUUCACGCUUUUUUUUUUAAACGAGAGACUAGAAACAAGAACAGGUAUCAGUUUUUCAGAAACUGAGAACAAGAAACACGAAGACUUCUAUGUGUAAUGUUUUGAUGCAUUCGUUUCCCUUCUUUGAUUCUAUUCAUUACAAACAUUUCUC